rnacentral:misc_RNA from 1 species
GAACUGCGAUAAGUAAUGUGAAUUGCAGAAUUCAGUGAAUCAUCGAGUCUUUGAACGCACAUUGCGCCCCCUGGCAUUCCGGGGGGCAUGCCUGUCCGAGCGUCAUUGCUGCCCUUCAAGCCCGGCUUGUGUGUUGGGUCGUCGUCCCCUCCGGGGGACGGGCCCGAAAGGCAGCGGCGGCACCGCGUCCGGUCCUCGAGCGUAUGGGGCUUUGUCACCCGCUCGAUAAGGACCGGCCGGGCGCCAGCCGGCGUCUCCAACCUUUUCUUCUCAGGUUGACCUCGGAUCAGGUAGGGAUACCCGCUGAACUUAAGC